UACGUAGGGAGCAAGCGUUGUUCGGAAUUACUGGGCGUAAAGGGCGCGUAGGCGGCCUGUUAAGUCGAACGUGAAAUCCCCGGGCUCAACCCGGGAACUGCGUCCGAUACUGGCAGGCUUGAAUCCGGGAGAGGGAUGCGGAAUUCCAGGUGUAGCGGUGAAAUGCGUAGAUAUCUGGAGGAACACCGGUGGCGAAGGCGGCAUCCUGGACCGGCAUUGACGCUGAGGCGCGAAAGCCAGGGGAGCAAAGCGGGAUUAAGAUGACC
rnacentral:rRNA from 1 species